UUGCUAACUUUUCCCUUUGAUCUGGCUGUUGUGGUGUGCAAAAUCCUGUGUGGCCUCCAUGUUUUGUUUUGCCACACUGCAACACUUUCACAGAUGUGGAGGAUGUGAAAUUUGUCAUCAAUUAUGACU
rnacentral:miRNA from 1 species